rnacentral:ncRNA from 1 species
GCUGUGGAGAGCCAAACAAACUGUAGUAGCCAAGGCGAGGCAGGGCUCGUUGAAGCAGUUA